rnacentral:rRNA from 1 species
UGGGAGCAAGAGCCCGGAGAUGGAUUCUGAGACACGAAUCCAGGCCCUACGGGGCGCAGCAGGCGCGAAAACUUUACAAUGCAGGAAACUGUGAUAAGGGAACCCCGAGUGCCCGUAUGGACGGGCUGUUCAGGUGCUUAAAAACCACCUGGAGAAAGGGCCGGGCAAGACCGGUGCCAGCCGCCGCGGUAAUACCGGCGGCUCGAGUGGUGGCCACUAUUACUGGGCUUAAAGCGUCCGUAGCUUGGUCGUUAAGCCUCUGGGGAAAUCUUCCGGCUCAACCGGAAGGCGUCUCAGGGGAACUGGCGACCUAGGGAUCGGGAGAGGUGAGAGGUACUCUGGGGGUAGGAGUGAAAUCCUGUAAUCCUCAGGGGACCACCUGUGGCGAAGGCGUCUCACCAGAACGACUCCGACAGUGAGGGACGAAAGCUGGGGGAGCAAACCGGAUUAGAUACCCGGGUAGUCCCAGCCGUAAACAAUGCGCGUUAGGUGAGUAUUGGGAAUUCCUGCAGC